GACGAACGCUGGCGGCGUGCUUAACACAUGCAAGUCGAACGGAAAGGCCCUGCUUUUGUGGGGUGCUCGAGUGGCGAACGGGUGAGUAACACGUGAGUAACCUGCCCUUGACUUUGUGAUAACUUCAGGAAACUGGGGCUAAUACCGGAUAGGAGCUCCUGCUGCAUGGUGGGGGUUGGAAAGUUUCGGCGGUUGGGGAUGGACUCGCGGCUUAUCAGCUGGUUGGUGGGGUAGUGGCUUACCAAGGCUUUGACGGGUAGCCGGCCUGAGAGGGUGACCGGCCACAAUGGGACUGAGAUACGGACCAGACGCCUACGGGAGGCAGCAGUGGAGAAUAUUACACAGUGGGCGGAAGCCUGAUGCGGAAGCGCCCCGUGCGGGAUGACGGCCUUCGGGUUGUAAACCGCUUUCGCCUGUGACGAAGCGUGAGUGACGGUAAUGGGUAAAGAAGCACCGGCUAACUACGUG
rnacentral:rRNA from 1 species